AAGAACUUUCUCUGGUUCAUUUGUCCACCCUUCUUCUCUCUCCCUGCACUAUUUAAUUCUGCUCAUUAACCACCUCCACGAGGACCACUCCACCAGCCACAUCCCAACAGAUGUUCCCAGCAGAUGCCCUGCUUCCAGGAGGCCUAACAGAUGUGGAAGGCAGCCUGGGAUGGAAAAAGGUUCUAAGGACUUUAGAGAGUCUCCAAAACAGGAUAUGUGUGGCAUACCUGAUGAUAUUACCUGCAGGCCCAGAGACGUGGGAGUCCCAGGGAGCCA